GAUGACUAUGGCUGGUAUUUGGUGGAAGGACAGUACAGGCCUGUCAUGACAACGCUGCCGCCUGCCCCAGAAGCAGUGAUUCAUCUCGUCAGGUGCUCCUGUGCCAAAACGAAGUGUUCAUCAAACCGCUGCAAGUGCAGGAAGGCUGGGCUACGAUGCACGGAACUUUGUAGCUGCUCAGAGGGAGAUGGGUGCGACAACAUGCCAGAUGACGAUGUUGGCCAGGAUGAUGAUGAUGAACCAUCGAGCGAUGACGAUGAGUAAAGAAUGCCUCUUCGCAGCUUGUGUAUUGUACAAAAUAUACUUGUAGUUGGCAAUUGUUAAUAAAGUGACAAGCUAUGAUUGUGAA